GAUCAUGGCUCAGAUUGAACGCUGGCGGCAGGCCUAACACAUGCAAGUCGAACGGUAACAGGAAGCAGCUUGCUGCUUUGCUGACGAGUGGCGGACGGGUGAGUAAUGUUUGGGAAACUGCCCGAUGGAGGGGGAUAACUACUGGAAACGGUAGCUAAUACCGCAUAACGUCGCAAGACCAAAGAGGGGGACCUUAGGGCCUCUUGCCAUCGGAUGUGCCCAGAUGGGAUUAGCUAGUAGGUGGGG
rnacentral:rRNA from 1 species